AUUGAACGCUGGCGGCAGGCCUAACACAUGCAAGUCGAGCGAGUGGCGGACGGGUGAGUAAUAUAUCGGAACGUGCCCAGUAGCGGGGGAUAACUACUCGAAAGAGUGGCUAAUACCGCAUACUAUUGGAGCGGCCGAUAUCGGAUUAGCUAGUUGGUGGGGUAAAGGCUCACCAAGGCAACGAUCCCUAGCUGGUCUGAGAGGAUGAUCAGCCACACUGGGACGGAGACACGGCCCAGACUCCUACGGGAGGCAGCAGUGGGGAAUAUUGCACAAUGGGCGCAAGCCUGAUGCAGCCAUGCCGCGUGUAUGAAGAAGGCCCUAGGGUUGUAAAGUACUUUCAGUCGGGAGGCGUUACCGACAGAAGAAGCACCGGCUAACUCCGUGCCAGCCGCCGCGGUAAUUC
rnacentral:rRNA from 1 species